UACGUAGGGUGCAAGCGUUGUCCGGAAUUAUUGGGCGUAAAGAGCUCGUAGGCGGUUUGUUGCGUCGGCUGUGAAAUCCCGAGGCUCAACCUCGGGUCUGCAGUCGAUACGAGCAAACUAGAGUGUUGCAGGGGAGACUGGGAAUUCCUGGUGUAGCGGUGGAAAUGCGCAGAUAUCAGGAGGAACACCGGUGGCGAAGGCGGGUCUCUGGGCAACAACUGACGCUGAGGAGCGAAAGCGUGGGGAGCGAACAGG
rnacentral:rRNA from 1 species